AGAAGAUGGAAUGAAUGUACCUCUUGUGUUGAUAUUAAUCUGAGAAAAAUACUUCAGCCUUUUUUUUUUUUCUUUCAUUAAUCAGGCAAAAAUCUCAUCGACAGAGGUCACAGAAUUUGGUUUCCAGGGUUUAAAUGGACAUUUCCAAAUGAUGUGUGUUCUAAAGCCUUCAUCCUUCUUAUUGUAUGGCAAAGAAAUUAACAGCCUACAAAUGAUAAUGAGCUCAGUGAAUAUUAUUAACACGAGUUACAACUGACUGACAAGUGAAACCAGCAUAUGGUGUUCAGUCUUCCCAGAAAAGUUUUUUCUGUCUUCUGCUGAUGGAGCACCACUUCAUCUGUUGCACCAGUUGACUGACAAUAUGACAUCUGGAAUGAAUAAGGAAUUCUGAACAUUUCAAGAGCAGACUUCAAACUACCUUCAAAAGCUACAUCCUUCUGGAAUUCCAGUAACUGCAACUGGGACAUAGCCAGGCUUCUUAUACGAGGGGAAGAAGUCCGAUUUGCACUGUUAAGAAAUGUUAAAGUGCUGCUGUGGCAUCCUAAGUGUUAUGAAGAUCUUGCAGUCUGUUAGGACAACUCACAUUCUCCUGAUGGCAUCCGCAUUUAAAUCUGUAAAAUUUGUAGGCUUAUAUCUGUCAUAGCCCAAUGUGUCCAGUUGUAGUUAUGCCCACUUAAGCAAAACAUGGAGCUAUCUGUUAUAAAAGACAAGGUUGCAUUUACAGAACUGGAAUAUCUCUUUUCAAUUUGGGAAAAAUAUCAUUAUUUUAAAUGUAGAUUAAAUAUUGAAUGGUAAUGUUAUACUUCAGCAGCAAAAGAAUACAAUACAUGAAAUCUGAAGUAUUUUUUCUGUUCAUAAACUCUUGGAGUUCAUAUCACCAAUUCCAUAUAAUUUGUCUUGCGUUUGACUGUUAAUUUCACUGUUUCAUAGAGCUGAUUGACUGAGCUGAAUCAGAUGCUGCACAGAGUCCAGAAAAAGUCUACUCUUUUCCCUCUUGAUUAGUGAGAUUUAUACACCAUCGAUAUAUAGACUUGUGAGGUGAAACGUGCUAAAACAGUUUGAGUGAUGACAGGUGGUUAUUUUCUUGAAAAAAAUUUAAAAUAAAAUAC
rnacentral:lncRNA from 7 species